rnacentral:lncRNA from 1 species
UUUUUCAAGCUGUCAAUAGAAAAAAUGGUUGUCAUUGGUUUAGACACUCUAGAAAAAAGUUGGAGACGCCAUGACGGCUCUGCCAAGAGGAGAAACUUACAAUCUAAUCCAAUUGCCUCACCUCUUACUAGAAGAAUGCCUGCUUUGGCUGUAACUAAAAGGGGCACUGGAGCUAGUACACAAAAUUGCAAAUCCUAGUGAUGUUAGUAUUGAAUCUUGAUGGUGAUUUUUAAAAUAUUUUUAAAGUAUUAAAUAGUCUUUUUUCUUUAAUUUGAUUUCUAGGCU